rnacentral:rRNA from 1 species
AUUGAACGCUGGCGGCAGGCCUAACACAUGCAAGUCGAGCGAGCGGCGGACGGGUGAGUGAUGUCUGGGGAACUGCCUGAUGGAGGGGGAUAUAUACAGGAAACGGUAGCUAAUACAGCAUACCAUCAGAUGUGCCCAGAUGGGAUUAGCUAGUAGGUGGGGUAAUGGCUCACCUAGGCGAAGAUCCCUAGCUGGUCUGAGAGGAUGACCAGCCACACUGGAACUGAGACACGGACCAGACUCCUACGGGAGGCAGCAGUGGGGAAUAUUGCACAAUGGGCGCAAGCCUGAUGCAGCCAUGCCGCGUGUAUGAAGAAGGCCUUCGGGUUGUAAAGCACUUUCAGCGGGGAGGCGUUACCCGCAGAAGAAGCACCGGCUAACUCCGUGCCAGCAGCCGCGGUAAUAC